rnacentral:lncRNA from 1 species
GGACACUGGGGGGGGAGAAUUCCCCAAUUUUCACCCCCCAAAAUCCCCAUUUUUCUCCCAAAAAACUCAAUCUUUUCCCAUUUUUUCCCCGUUUUUUCCCAUUUUUCCCCGUUUUUUCCCAAAAUCCCCGUUUUUUCCCCCAUUCUCACACUCCAUGUUGAGCUCAAAGUCCAGGCUGCUCUCCCUGUCCCUUUUCCCCCCAAAACCCCCUCAUUUCCCCCAUUUUCCUUCCCAAAAUCCCCAUUUUUGUCCCAAAAAACUCAAUUUUUUCCCAUUUUUCCCCCGUUUUUUCCCAAAAUCCCCGUUUUUCACCCCAUUUUUCCCCCAUUCUCACACUCCACGGUGAGGUUGAAGGCCAGGCUGCUCUCCCUGUCCCUUUUCCCCCCAAAACCCCCUCAUUUCCCCCAUUUUUCUCCCCAAAAUCCCCAUUUUUCACCCCAAAAUCCCAUUUUUUCCCAUUUUUUCCCCAUUUUUCCCCAAAAUCCCCAUUUUUCACCCCAUUUUUCCCCCAUUCUCACACUCCACGUUGAGCUCAAAGUCCAGGCUGCUCUCCCUGUCCCUUUUCCCCCCAAAACCCCCUCAUUUCCCCCAUUUUCCUUCCCAAAAUCCCCAAUUUUCUCCCAAAAAUCCCAUUUUUUUCCCAUUUUUUCCCCGUUUUUUCCCAUUUUUUCCCCGUUUUUUCCCAUUUUUCCCCCGUUUUUUCCCAAAAUCCCGGUUUUCUCCCCCGUUCUCACACUCCACGGUGAGGUUGAAGGCCAGGCUGCUCUCGCCGUGCUGGUUCUCCGCCCUGCACAGCUAUUCCCCAUUUUCCUUCCCAAAAUCCCCAUUUUUCACCCCAAAAUCCCAUUUUUUCCCCCGUUUUUUCCCAAAAUCCCGUUUUUUUCCCCAUUCUCACACUCCACGGUGAGGUUGAAGGCCAGGCUGCUCUCGCCGUGCUGGUUCUCCGCCCUGCACAGGUACUCCCCAUUUUCCUUCCCAAAAUCCCCAUUUUUGUCCCAAAAAACUCAAUUUUUUCCCAUUUUCCCCCCGUUUUUCCCAUUUUUUCCCCGUUUUUUCCCAAAAUCCCAUUUUUUUCCCCCAUUCUCACACUCCACGGUGAGGUUGAAGGCCAGGCUGCUCUCGCCGUGCUGGUUCUCUGCCCUGCACAGCUAUUCCCCAUUUUCCUUCAUAAAAUCCCCAUUUUUCACCCCAAAAUCCCAUUUUUCCCCCGUUUUUUCCCAAAAUCCCGGUUUUUUCCCCCAUUCUCACACUCCAUGUUGA